rnacentral:rRNA from 1 species
AGAUUAAGCCAUGCAUGUGUAAGCAUGAAUCAUUUAAUGGUGAAGCCGCGAAUGGCUCAUUAUAACAGCCAUAGUUUAUUAGAUUUUUACUUGGAUAACUGUGGUAAUUCUAGAGCUAAUACACGCAGCAAAGCUUCGACCUUACGGAAGGAGCGCAUUUAUUAGAACAAAACCAAUCGUGCUUCGGUUUGGUGAAUCUGAAUAACUUAGUCGAUCGCAUGGUCUUUGUACCGGCGACGCAUCUUUCUCUGCCUUAUCAACUUUCGAUGGUAGUUUAUGCGCCUACCAUGGUUGUAACGGGUAACGGAGAAUCAGGGUUUGAUUCCGGAGAGGGAGCCUGAGAAAUGGCUACCACAUCCAAGGAAG